AAGACAUUGUAUCCUUGCAUCUAGCUGAAUACCUGCAAAAAAUGGCUUCCUUCAAGUUAUCAGUGAUUGCCUUAUUGGCCAUUGGGCUUUACCUGGACACGGUCUGUGCUGCUUCUAUAACCUUGGAAGAAGAAGCUGAGAUAAUAGUGAACAGUACAAUAACUGACCUUACAGAAUCAACUUCUGCGAUUCUAAGCAGUGACGCUGCGGUCGAUUUGGAACAAUUGAUUGAGGAAAUUAACAACACUGCAGCGAUGAAAGAGCUUGAUGCACAAAUUGUUGAACUUCUAAACAGUGACGCUGUGGUUGAAUUGGAACAAAAGGAUGCGGAAUUUCUAAACAGUUCAGUGGUGACUGACGUUUAUGAUGCAGUUGCCAAACUUGUAAACAGGUACCCAUCCUCUCUCUCCUUCAUGCCUCUAGCUCUCUAUUCCAUUUGCGAUCUCUCCUUGACUCUAGCCUUUCUCAUGACCUGCCUAGAAGGUGUGGGUUACUGGCCUUAAUUAACAGAGGUCAGAAGACCUCAACGCAAUGGGGCCGUCGCACCUUGUUCAGUCAAUUCCAGAUGUUCAUCGAUUUAUUUACUUUCUAACCAAAGUGGUUUGUUUUAUACUUGACAUUUAUUCCAUCAAUUUACGACAUUCUGUGAGAAAAAUUUCAAAUUAAGGUUAAAUAUGAAAUGAACCUUACCGUGGCCAGUUCUGCUAUUGCUUGCAGACUACUGUGGGUGCUACAAAUGCAUAACAUUGCAUGCAAAUAGAUUGAGAUGCUUCUGCUUAUGUACUCAAUUGGUAUCCUUCUCUUUCUCCUUCACAGUACAGCUAUGGCUGAACUAGGAGAAGCACUCCAGGCAGUUCUGGAAAGUCCAGAUAUGGAAAAGAUUUCUACAGCAUUGGAGAAUAUUCUGGAAUCGGACGAUUUUGCUUCUCUACGUGUUGCAUUGAAAGUGGCGUAAGAUUCCCCUCUGCUCAAUCCUUCUACCUCCGUCAUAUGCAUCUCUAUAUUAUCUCUCAUUUAGUACAUUAUAUUAUCUGGUCAACUUAAACAAAAUACAAUUCUAUAGAAAGGCCAUUGCCGUAAAACUGUACUAUAGUACAAUCCACUGUUGUACAUGUCUUAAUUAGUAUACUUAAAGGGCUAAAACACAAUGCCAUUUUGGCACCUUAGCGCAGAACUACUGUAUGACUUUAAUGGUAGCUUACAUUAAGAGGUAAAAAUUUAAUCUUACGAAGCGUCAACUUUCUCUUUCGUUUUUUCAGUUCUGACCAGGAGGAGAGUGCAUUUGUCACCGAAGAAGACGCUGAAUUAUCUCCUUCUCUUAAGGGAUUUGCACAGUGCUUGGAAUCUUCUGCUCAGUAGUGGCUUUUGGUCCACUUCCUACAGAGGUGCACUCUCCUUGCUACCUCGGAACGCAUCUUUCAAGCAUCUCCACGGUGAACAGGAACCAAAUGCUGUGAUGUUCUUUUUCUCUUCUCAAGAUAACUGAAAAGUGAUCAACCUUAAAAUAAAAACUUUCUUGCAUUCAA
ensembl:lncRNA